rnacentral:rRNA from 1 species
AAGCACGUGGAGCCUCAGGGUAAGCCGCUCACUCAAGCGUGGUUGCGAUUCUCCGGGGCCCCCUCCAAGCCGUUGCAGGAUGCUCGGGUUGUGGCCAGCUUGUGCAUUUUGGUGGGGAAGCCUGAGCGUGUGGAUAUGGCGUUCACCAAAGCUCAUGGGAUUGCUCGGGUUCUGGUUAGUAUUCUGAACAUUGAGUAUGUGCCGGAAGUGGUUAAGUGGGCUUAUCGAGGCAGGAUUUAUAAUCUGGUCAUUGAGUUUGAGGAUGAGAGCCUUUUGGCUGCGGCGGCUCACGAGUCCGACGUG